CCUACGGGAGGCAGCAGUGGGGAAUCUUGUGCAAUGGACGAAAGUCUGACACAGCCACGCCGCGUGCGGGAAGAAGGCCUUCGGGUUGUAAACCGCUUUCAGCAGGAACGAAAAUGACGGUACCUGCAGAAGAAGAUGCGGCCAACUACGUGCCAGCAGCCGCGGUGAUACGUAGGCAUCAAGCGUUGUCCGGAUUUAUUGGGCGUAAAGAGCUCGUAGGCGGUUCAGCAAGUCGGGUGUGAAAACUCUGGGCUUAACCCAGAGCCUGCACUCGAAACUGCUGUGACUAGAGUUCGGUAGGGGAGCAGGGAAUUCCUAGUGUAGCGGUGAAAUGCGCAGAUAUUAGGAGGAACACCAAUGGCGAAGGCACUGCUCUGGGCCGAUACUGACGCUGAGGAGCGAGAGCGUGGGUAGCAAACAGGAUUAGAUACCCUGGUAGUCCACGCCGUAAACGAUGGGCACUAGGUGUGGGUCUCUAACCAACGAGAUCUGCGCCGUCGCUAACGCAUUAAGNGCCCCGCCUGGGGAAUCGGUCGCAAGACAAAACUUAANGAAUUGACGGNNGAGACGNGACGAGACGACGACGAGGGAGGAGG
rnacentral:rRNA from 1 species